rnacentral:misc_RNA from 1 species
GAAAUGCGAUAAGUAAUGUGAAUUGCAGAAUUCAGUGAAUCAUCGAAUCUUUGAACGCACCUUGCUCUCCUUGGUAUUCCUUGGAGCAUGCCUGUUUGAGUAUCAUGAAAUCUUCAAAGUAAAUCUUUUGUUAACUCAAUUGGUUUCUACUUUGGUAUUGGAGGUCUUUGCAGCUUCACACCUGCUCCUCUUUGUUCAUUAGCUGGAUCUCAGUGUUAUGCUUGGUUCCACUCGGCGUGAUAAGUUAUCUAUCGCCGAGGACACUGUAAAAGGUGGCCAAGGUAAAUGCAGAUGAACCGCUUCUAAUAGUCCAUUGACUUGGACAAUACUUUUAUGAUCUGAUCUCAAAUCAGGUAGGACUACCCGCUGAACUUAAGC